rnacentral:rRNA from 1 species
UCUAGUCUGACACUGUGAAAAAGCAUGAGAGGUGUAGAAGAAGUGGGAGGAGCAAUCCGCCGGUGAAAUACCACGACUCCUAUCGUGUUUUUUUUUACUUAUUCGGUGAAGCGGAGCUGGAACUCAACGUCCACUUUUUAGCAUUAAGACCGCUCUUCUGCCCGUCGAUCCGAGCCGCAGACAGUGCCAGGUUGGAA